UCAGACGGGACUCGGUGAGCGAGUGGCGGCUGCAUUGCGGCAGAAAGCGUUUCGCCGGCGGGUGUGAAGGACGCAGCUCAGACAAGUUUAGCCCAGCCCAGAGCGGACCAGUCUGUGCUCUAGUUCACCUGUACCGGGAACUGUCACUAACUGGAACGCCGGCCCAGCGGGUUAACUGCUCCCGAUACGAUAUUCACCGGAGCGAGAAUUAAUCCCACCCUCCAAGCAGUCAGGAUGUUGGACCUGCUGAGCACCCAGUACGAUUCCUUCAUCUUCUGGAGAACCCCCAUCCCCGUCAUCGACUUGGCCGAGAUCGAUGUUUUGCUGCCGGGCUCCGGAGACGAGGGCGCGGCCGCCAGAACCGGCGCUUGUCGGGGUCACGAGGAUGACGUCGGCUUGGCAGAGUAUAACUCCUUCAAUUUCUGGAGGUCUCCGAUCGCCACCUUUAUUGGGAUCGAUCUAGAACUGUUUUAACCCCUCGGCGAAGUUGUUUGUGAUUUAUCAAUGUUCCCGCACCGACAGAUCCGGUUGCUCUAUCAUUCCCCCAUCCACUAUUAUAUUUAAUCCUUCUUCAGAAUAUUUUGGGAGUAAAGGCAACGCUAUAUUCUCCACGUUGUAGAUUAUCAGUUUUGUUCGGCAGCCUAAUCGAUAGUUUGCGCGGGUUGAAACGCCAUCUAAUUGGCCCUCAUUUUCCACAUAGAUUUGUAAAAGCCCCUUCAAAAAUGUUUAUUUUGUUUUUGCAAGUCGAUGUUGAAACGGGUCCCACCGCCGCCUUUGUGUCGCUUCAACCCCCCCGCCCCCCCGCUAUAACACCCCGGCUUGCCCCUAUAUUCUGGAGAUUCUCUCUCAGCCUCUCUCCUGCGCUUUGUCCCACUGAGGUGAGGCGAGGUGUUGGUGACAGAGUCUGGCCGCAGAGACGCUGCCCUCCACUAUUUUCACGCCGUGCAUCAUCUGACUGACGGGCGCCCUGAGCCGGUAACCGGCGGUCGCUCAGGGGGGACACGGAUCCAGUCGCGGUGUUGCUGGGCGUGCAGACAACGCGUCAACAAUAUCCCUGGUAUGGAUUUUAUUUUAAGUUGUCUCUCGGCAGCGCAGGUCAGCGCCGUGCCCGACACGGCCCCCUGGCAGAGGGAGGGAGAACCUGGGGCCCCUCGGUCUGCCCGCGACAUCUCCCCGGGGUCCCGCCGUCCGUCCCAUCCUGAGAGAUCAAACGUUCAACCGCGAACACGCUACCGAUCAAAUGCAUCGAUCCGCGGAUACGGGCGAUUAUCAACGGGUUUAAAACGUGACAAAAUAUUUAUUUAUUUAACUAUUUAUUUAUUUCACUAAUU